rnacentral:rRNA from 1 species
AGUCAUAUGCUUGUCUCAAAGAUUAAGCCAUGCAUGUCUAAGUACACGCCGAUUCACGGCUAGACCGCGAACGGCUCAUUAAAUCAGAUAUAAUUCAUUGGAUCUAUACAAACUGAAUUACUUGGAUAACUGUGGUAAUUCUAGAGCUAAUACAUGCCUUUAGAGACUCUGACAGUAAUGGAAGAGCGCUUUUAUUAGUAAAGAAACCUUUCGGACCUUGGGCCAAGCACCUUGGUGAACCUAAAUAACUUGUGCUGAGCGCACGUUCUCCGCAACGGCGCCGCAUCUUGCAAGUGUCUGCCUUAUCAGCUCUCGAUUGUAGGUCAAACGCCUACAAUGGCUAUAACGGGUAACGGGGAAUCAGGGUUCGAUUCCGGAGAGGGAGCCUGAGAAACGGCUACCACAUCUAAGGAAGGCAGCAGGCGCGCAAAUUACCCACUCCCGGCACGGGGAGGUAGUGACGAAAAAUACUGUUGAGAGACUCCAUCGAGGCUUCUCAAUUGGAAUGAGUACAUUUUAAAUCCCUGGACGAGGAUCCAGUGGAGGGCAAGUCUGGUGCCAGCCGCCGCGGUAAUUCCAGCUCCAUUAGCGUAUAUUAAAGUUGUUGCGGUUAAAACGCUCGUAGUUGGCUCCCUGUCUUGGACUGGCGGUCACCUUAGCGGUGUUACUGCAUAGAUUCCGAGCUAUAGCCCCGCCGGCUUGCCUUGGGGUGCUCUUUACCGAGUGUCCCAGCCGUGGCCGGCACGUAUACCUUGAAAAAAUUAGAGUGCUCAGAGCAGGCCAACAUAACAGCCCGCAUAGAUGUGCAUGGAAUGUUGGAAAAGGACCUCGGUUCCAUUUUGUUGGCUUUUUCCUUGGAACCCGAGGUAAUGAUUAACGGAAGCAGACGGGGGCAUUCGUACUGCGACGAUAGAGGUGAAAUUCUUAGACCGUCGCAUGACGAGCUACUGCGAAAGCAUCUGCCAAGGAUGUUUUCGUUAAUCAAGAACGAAAGUUAGAGGUUCGAAGGCGAUCAGAUACCGCCCUAGUUCUAACCUUAAACGAUGCUGACUAGCGAUCCGCCGCAGUUAUUCCCAUGACCCGGCGGGCAGCUUACCGGGAAACCAAAGUAUUUGAGUUCCGGGGGAAGUAUGGUUGCAAAGCUGAAACUUAAAGGAAUUGACGGAAGGGCACCACCAGGAGUGGAGCCUGCGGCUCAAUUUGACUCAACACGGGGAAUCUUACCAGGCCAGGGCACUGGAAGGAUUGACAGAUUGAAGGCUCUUUCUUAAUUCGGUGGGUGGUGGUGCAUGGCCGUUCUUAGUUGGUGGAGUGAUUUGUCUGGUUAAUUCCGAUAACGAACGAGACUCUAGCCUACUAAAUAGUCGACGGAUACUCUUAUUACUACGACUACAGGCCGUCUUUGUCAGACCAUGAUGAUGUGUGUGUUAUUUCAUAUAGCCACAUUUGAUUUGUGCGAAGCUGACGGUUAUUGUGUGUGAGUCCAGCUCGCAGCUUCUUCUUAGAGGGAUAAGCGGCAGCAAAAAAAAUACUAGCCGCACGAGAGAUUGAGCCAUAACAGGUCUGUGAUGCCCUUAGAUGUUCUGGGCCGCACGCGCGCUACAAUGGCGAGCUCAGCAAGCUCUCCCUGCUCCGAUAGGAGUGGGUAACCUUCUGAAAGCUGGUCUUAAAGGGGAUUGGGCCUUGCAAAUGUGUCCCAUGAACGAGGAAUUCCCAGUAGGUGCAAUUCACCAGCUUGCACCGAUUUAGUCCCUGCCCUUUGUACACACCGCCCGUCGCUACUACCGAUUGAAUGGUCUAGUGAGGGCAUCGGACUGGCGCCCUUGGAGUGGUCUCUCACCUCGCUAUUAUGCCCCUCGUGGGUAUAGAGGGGGGAAGCCUUCCUCGGGUCGACGGAAAGAUGUCCGAGCUGGGUCAUUUAGAGGAAGUAAAAGUCGUAACAAGGUUUCCGU